UACGUAGGGUCCGAGCGUUGUCCGGAAUUACUGGGCGUAAAGAGCUCGUAGGUGGUUUGUCGCGUUGUUCGUGAAAACUCACAGCUCAACUGUGGGCGUGCGGGCGAUACGGGCAGACUUGAGUACUGCAGGGGAGACUGGAAUUCCUGGUGUAGCGGUGGAAUGCGCAGAUAUCAGGAGGAACACCGGUGGCGAAGGCGGGUCUCUGGGCAGUAACUGACGCUGAGGAGCGAAAAGCGUGGGGAGCGAACAGG
rnacentral:rRNA from 1 species